AAAGGCCCGUGCUGCCCAGCAGGUUUGUCCUAUUCCCAGACACAGCACUGUACAUCUGUGGAAAAUGCUGACCGAUGAUGUACAAAAUAAUUGAGUUUUUCAUCUUCCAAGUUAGCACUUUUUCUUCCCUUGGAGGGCUCUCAGUUCUAUUCCCGGACACCGUUCUGCUCUGUUAUACUCACCCCUUUUCUGUAUGGAAGCACUAAUUGCCACACAGAGCUAGAGAUGCACCUUGUCUGAUGGCUUAAGGCAGGCAGCAGGCACUCGUUAGAUGCCACGUAAGCUCUUUCAGAUCCAGUGGCUGAUGUCAGACACUUGAGAGGAAGGUGCCAGAAAACAAGCAGUAGAAAACUGUCAGACGGUUUUGGGGCUGCUGUGAGCUGGUUAUGUUACAAAGGAUAAGACUUUUUUUCUCAUAAUUGCUGUUCAUUCUUUUAAUAUUUCCUGUACACCUAUUCUUAUGAUGGUUAAAUGUAAAUACCAUUCUAAAUAAAUGCUUUCUGUCAAUGACAAGCAAGUGUGUUGCUGCUUUCAAAGUAGGCUAGCUAAUUUUUGAACAGAGAACAUCUCGUUCCAGCUACCUUGCAGAUAAAAUAACCAGCAACGAAAAAGAUAUUCCAGCUUUUGCAAUUUGAAGAAGUCCUCUCCAUUCUCUGAUGAGUACCUGCAAAGGGAUAAUAGGUGAUGUGAGUGUUUGUAGCCCUGUCUGCCUAGGUGCAAAGUAGAAUCCAGUCUGCUUUUCCCUUAAUGGUACAACUCC
rnacentral:lncRNA from 1 species